rnacentral:rRNA from 1 species
UACAGAAAGUAAACGCGGAUCAAACCGCGAACUUCUAAACCUUUGACGAUCGACUCAUGUUGCCUCGGCGGGUGCUCCCGCCAGAGGAUACAUCAAAACUCAUGUUUUAACGGUGUUGUCUGAGCUACAAGCAACGAAUCAAAACUUUCAACAACGGAUCUCUUGGUUCUGGCAUCGAUGAAGAACGCAGCGAAAUGCGAUAAGUAGUGUGAAUUGCAGAAUUCAGUGAAUCAUCGAAUCUUUGAACGCACAUUGCGCCCCUUGGUAUCCCGAGGGGCAUGCCUGUUCGAGCGUCAUUUCACCACUCAAGCCUGGCUUGGUGUUGGGCGACGUCCCCUUUGGGGACGCGCCUCGAAACGCUCGGCGGCGUGGCACCGGCUUUAAGCGUANCANAAUCUUUCGCUUUGAAAGUCGGGGCCCCGUCUGCCGGAAGACCUACUCGCAAGGUUGACCUCGGAUCAGGCAGGGAUACCCGCUGAACUUAAGCAUAUCAAUAA